UUAUUAACUCAUUGAAAUUGCAAUUUAAAUCUAAAUGGUGUGUUUGCAGAAUAUACGCUGCCAAUAAACCUGUGGACAUUAAAGAAAUCUGCAUAAAUUUAAGCUAGUAUGGAGAUCACAGCAGCAUAAACCAAAUAUAAUUAAAAGUAUUACACCAAACACCCUGUUGCAUGUGUUAAACACAGCCAAUGCUCUCAUAAAUGAGCUGUGUGUUUCCACUGAGAGCCCUGAGCACCGUCUUUGUUUACUGUAGUCAUGGUGAAGUACAACCCUGGAGAAUUAAUGGAGCACCCACACAGGCAGACAGACAGUAAUCCUAUAGCACUGAGUGUCAGUCAGUGGACACACACAGAGAAACUGCUCACCUACAUAUUAUAACUGGUCACUGCUGACAACACUGAGUGGGUUUUCUAAACACCCAGAACAGCUGAACUGGACCUAAGGACCGUCUGUGGAUGAAAUAGAGUGGAACCAUGUUGUGACUGUUAUUUUGUCCCCUGUGGAAAGCAAUUAAAUGGAUAGCAUCUUGUUGCGGCUCCUCAGGGACAAGCAGUGUGUCAACAGGAUGUGGCAACAAGGGGCCAAACGUGUGCACCGUUUUCAGGCCACAGUUUGGACCGUGUCAGCCCACAGUAUGGACCUGUGAAGGGACGACUUCCAUUCCAAACAAAUCCUAACUCGUCACAGCUCAAGUGUGGACUAAAAAGAUGGCGUCCAUCGAUUCUUCACUGAACCACAUCUGCAGUUGUUCCAAUGAAGACUCAUCUGGAAACCUCUCUUUGGGAGGACAGAUAACGUCUGAUGUAGCUAACAACUGCCGAGUGUCUCACAAUAUAACAUGCCGAGUGUAAACUUUAACUUAAAGGAGAAAAAGUAAAAAACAAAAAACAAACAAAAAAAACCUUUUAAGUUGUUUCUGAAACCUUUUUGUGUCCAUGUCAUGAUCACAUUUUUUUUGAAAAGCACAUGUAAUCUUUUUGUGUGGAUCUGGCGCCAUCGUGUGGAAGGAGAGCAUAGCCGUCGAAAACUAAUUUUCAAAAAUAGUGCAAUUUGGGGGAUUGGGAAAAUACACCUGGAAUAUAAAUCUAAAUUACGAUAGUAAAAUGGCCAACUCUGGUUUUCUCUGUUGCAGCGAGAGCUAACAUGGCUUUUACCAGGUUUGUCACGUUUUUUUCAGCUAAUAUGAUAUCCAAUAUUAGACAGGUGUUACUAGGUUACUUAUUAGAUAGAAGUUGCGGUAGUGUAAUUAAAAUAUAGAAAAUA